ACAACACUCCUGGAGUCAGGGAAGAGAGUUAGGGUCUGAGAAAUCACAAGGAUUGUCAGAGAAGGCAUAAGGCAAUGGAUUAUCACACACUUUCAAGUAGCAAUAGAAAUAUUGAUUUGAUUACUGUUUCCAGAGAAAAAGGUGGGAAAGGAGUUUGGGGUUGGAGGAGGGAGGCAAGCAGAAGAGAUGGCAAAAUGGCUGAGAAGAUAAUCAUUGAUUACAAUGUGCCAGGCACGUUGGUUUUAUGGUAGAGGGGUUUGAAACAUUGUCCGAGGGUGGCAAGAUACACAGCAUUAGGUAAAUUUGCCAAGAUCUAAAACUGAGUGACUAAAAUCAAUAAAAAAUAGUUCCAGAGGGGCAUAAGGGGCACCAGAAGGUGUGAUCCAGGUGUAGUCUGGCCCAGAGGGAGGGAGGCCUAGUCUAUGGCAUCGAUGUAAUUAACUCCAUGGCGAGCCCAGGGGACAGUGGCAGAGUUAAGGAAGGGACCCAAGCUGGCCGCCUGGGAUUUUAGAAACAAGGGAGAGGGCGUUAUUUUAACGCUGGAAGAGACCUUAGAGGUCCCCUUGGCCAAGCCCUGGCUUUUACAGACACAGGAAGAAAGAAGGAGCAGUUCGUUGGAAUCCUAUCCGGGAGCCCGGAAGAAACUGGCAUCACAGGAGGAUGAUGGUCCUUGUAGUUCUAGUGCUGAGUGGGCGCCAAAUGCGCCCCUUCCGCUGAGGCGCUUCCGCCCUAGUGAAGUGUCGCGAGAUCCCGCAGCGAGCCAACCAACGGAAACAGAGACCGUCGAGAGGCGUGGACGACUGUGCAACCGAAGUCGACACCAGGCCGGCGUGCAGGCUGUCGUAUUAUUGGGUGUCAGUGGCGUGAUGGGAAAGUCCUUAGUUACCCGAGCUGCGGGCUGUAGGUCCGAGUCCUGUUCCAAGAGUGUAGAACCAAAGAAUGUCUCUUUUCUCCAAACCUCUUGUACCUGCCUCUCCCAGGCAUAUAGCCUCAUCAUCAUUCUCUUCAACAAAUUACACAUAAGCAACAGAUAAAAAAACACCUCAGGCUUGAAACUUGAGUUACAUAAAAGGAUUGGAGGAACAGGCCUCAUAACAACAAACUGCAGUCUGCAGCUUCUUAGAGUUCAGCAUGUUAACCUAAUGCAAAACACAGCAAGAAUCUGGUUAUCUGAAAAGUUUAAAUGAAAUUAAGAUACCAAACGUUUUUAGUCAGGUUCUCCUAACAAGAUUUGACCUACAUUUCAUUUUUAUUGGUCACAACAGUCAAAUUAUAUUCUUGGCCUAUUUUGUCCAGCAGACAAAGGAAAACAAAAUCAGCACCAUUUUCUUGUCAAGAUCAAAUUGUUUUACUGUUGUGGCAGAAGCCAGAAAACUUUGUUUAUUGAAAGAGAGAAAAAGAAAGCAAGAAUAAAGAUAAAUGGGGUCAAGUUUUAACUCCAUGGAAAUGCCACAUCUGGUCUUCAGGGAAGAAGCUGGUUUAAAGUCACACAGACAACUUUGUAUUUAUUUAUUUAUUGUGGGGGGAAGGGGGAGGAAGACACUUUUAUUGCUACCUGAAUUUGUCAAUUAGUUAAUUUUUCUUUGUAAAAAAUCCAGCCCCAGUUACAUGUAAUGCAUUCUUUUUCUUAUCAUGAUUCCUGUAGGUAAAAAUAGAAGAGAUCUCUAGAUGUCUUUUCUUUCAGUGAAAGGAGCUGCUAUGUACACAUGCAUGUGUCCGCACAUACAGACACACAGAACUGGAAAUCAACAAUGAGUUUAUUGUUCAUGUUAGAUAAAAAUUAAGCUUGCAUAAAGGUUGGGCUAAGUGGUCAUGGACUACUGACUCUGUUGCCUUGAAUGAAACAGUACAAUUGUCAUUUACUCUGCAUCAGACUGAGAUGAGUGAAAUCUAUUUGAAGGUAUCUUGUUUAUAAACAUUUGUCAGAUUCUAAUUUUUUUCUUUUUAUAUUAAAAUUCAAAAUAUGGAUGUAUAUGAAAUGAAAUAAAUGGAGAUAAUUUUUCUCCCACA